rnacentral:rRNA from 1 species
CCUUCGGGUUGUAAACCACUGUCGGGAGUUAGGAAAUGCAGGUGCGUUAAUAGCGCACUUGCUUGACUAAGGCUCCAGAGGAAGCCACGGCUAACUCUGUGCCAGCAGCCGCGGUAAUACAGAGGCGGCAAGCGUUGUUCGGAAUUAUUGGGCGUAAAGAGCACGUAGGCGGCCUUGCAAGUCAGUUGUGAAAGCCUUCCGCUUAACGGAAGAACGGCAUCUGAUACUACAGGGCUUGAGUACGGGAGGGGAGAGUGGAACUUCUGGUGGAGCGGUGAAAUGCGUAGAUAUCAGAAGGAACGCCGGCGGCGAAAGCGACUCUCUGGUCCGAAACUGACGCUGAGUGUGCGAAAGCUAGGGGAGCAAACGGGAUUAGAUACCCCGGUAGUCCUAGCCGUAAACGAUGGGCACUAAGUAGAGGGAAUU